UCCUAAGAGUCACUGGGUCUCCGCCUUCCGGGGCGCCUCUCUGCGGGCAGCCCUUCCGCUUUCUCUUGAGGGCUGGGGAGGAUAGAGUGUGGAGGGGUGUGUAAGAAAAGGCCCAUUAGCCAAGGCGCUGCGCUGACCAUCCUACCCGAGAGUCUCUCACGGAACCUGGAACUCACUGAUUUAGCUAGACUGCCUAGAAAGCCACAGAGAGCCUCUUGUCUCUACCUCCUUCAACCUUAGGAUCACAGAAGCACACUACCAUGCCAGCUUCGCCAGCUUUUUGUGACAGUUCUAGGAAUCCAAACUCAGUUCCUCAUGUUUGCAGAGCAAGCAAGCACUUCACCACGAGGCCAUAAGAGGGCAUCAGAUUCCCCGAAACUGGAGUUACAGAUAGCUGGAAGCAGCCAUGUGAACCAGUUUGCAUCCUCUUCAAGAGAAACAAGGGCAUCUCUCUCCAGCCUCAAAAAUCUACUUGCAGGCAAAUGGUGGGAACUAGAAAAGAUCUUGAGUGAGGUAACCCAGAAGCAGAAAGACUCACAUGGUAUAUACUUACUCAUAAGUGGAUAUUAGCCACACAAUAUAGGACAAACAUACUAAAAUCUAUAGUCCUUAAGAAGCUAAACAAGGAAGACAUUAGGGAAGAUGCUCAAUCUUCAUUCAGAAGGACAAACAUGCUUGACAUCGGAAACAGGAGAAGAUGGAACAGGACAGGAGCCUAUCACAGAUGGCUUCUGAAAGACUUUACUGAUCGAGGUAUCAAAGCAGAGGCUGAAACUCAGAGCCAAACUUUGGGUAGAGUGCAGGGAAUCUUAUGAAAGACCUGGAGGAGAGGACUCCAAAAGGAGACUAACAGUGCCAUAAAAACUGAGCCCUCCUCUCCCCCCCCACCGAAGAGAAUGAUACCCCAACCAAAGACAAUGCAUGAAGAGGACCUAAAACCCAGGCUCAGAUGUAGCCCAUAGAUUCAGUCUCCAAGUGGAGUCCCUAGUAAGGGGAGCAGGGACUUUCUCUAGCAUGAACUCAGUGGCAGGUUCUUUCAUCACCUUCCCCUGGGGGGUGCAGCCUUGCCAGUCCACAGAGGAAGAGAAUGUAACCAUCCCUGAUGAGACUUGAUAGGCUAGGGUCAAAUAGAAGGAGAGAAGGAUCUCCUUUAUCAGUGGGUUAGGGGAGGGACAUAGGAGGAGAAGAGGAAAGGAGGGUGAGAUGGGAGGAAACAAGGGAGGUGGCCACAGCUAGGACACAAAUUGAAUAAACUGUAAUAAAUGAUACUAAUAAAAAUAAAAAAAAAUUUGUCUUUAAAUCAAAUUACUCAGAAGACACUAUCCUUCAGUUACAUUUGAUCAUUGUUUGGGCCUAUGUAUUCUUUGAAGUGAUGUUAAGAAUAGGGUCUCACUCCUAGGCAUACAUCCAAAAGAGGCUCAAGUACACAAUAAGGACAUUUGCUCAACCAUGUUUGUAGUAGCUUUAUUUGUAAUAGCCAGAAGCUGGAAACAACCCAGAUGCCCCUCAACUGAAGAAUGGAUACAGAAAGUAUGGUACAUCUACACAAUGGAAUAUUACUCAGCAAUGAAAAACAAGGAAAUCAUGAAAUCAUGCAGGUAAAUGGUUGGGACUGGAAAGGAUCAUCCUGAGUGAACUAUCCCAGAAGCAGAAAGACACACAUGGUAUAUACUCACUCAUAUAGACAUAUAACAUAGGAUAAACCUACUAAAAUCUGUACAUCUAAAUAAACUAAUCAAGAGGGAGGACUCUUGCUAAAAUUCUCAAUCCCCAUCCUGAAAGGCAAAGAGGAUGGACAUCAGAAGAAGAAGAAAACAGGAAACAAGUUGGGAACCUGCCACAGAGGGCCUCUGAAAGGCUCUACUCUACAGACUAUCAAAGCAGAUGCUGAGACUUAUGGCCAACUGUUGGGCAGAUUGCAGGGAAUCUUAUGUAAGAAGUGGGAAAUAGUAAGAUCUGGAGGGGACAGUAACCCCACAAGGAGAGCAACAGAACCAGAAAAUUUGAAUACAGGGGUCUUCCCAGAGACUCAUACUCCAACCAAGUACCAGGCAUGGAGAUAACCUAGAACCCCUGCACAGAUAUAGCCCAUGGCAGUUCAGUGUCCAAGUGGGUUACAUAGUAAUGAGAAGAGGGACUGCCUCUGACAUGAACUGAUUGGCCUGCUCUUUGAUCACCUCCCCCUGAGGGGGGCCAGCCUUACCAGGCCACAGAGGAAGACAAUGCAGCCACUCCUGAUGAGACCUAACAGACUA